rnacentral:tRNA from 1 species
GCUGGGUGUAGCUCAGUGGUAGAAUGCUUGCUUAGCACAUGCAAGGCCCUGAGUUCAAUCUUCAGCACUGCA